rnacentral:lncRNA from 1 species
UGGAGAAGUGUCGGGAACCCCUGGCCCGGAGUGCGGAGCUAUUUGUAGACGAGUUGUCAAAAGUAAGGAGAGAGAGGCAGCGCUGGCCCAACCCGGCCAGCCUACUGACGGCCGCCAACUUACCUAUCUCGACACAGGCAACCCCCAGGCCCGAUCCCGCUCCUCUAAAUCUCUCUUUCCUAGUCCCCACGUCACUCACCAUGUCUCGGAGCACUUGGGCCUCUCAAAGCAGAACUUCGCCUAGUCUGUUUCCACCCAAGGCAGCUACAGCUUCACUUCCUGCUUACUCCAACUUUCUGCCCGCCUCCUGCCCAUCCCGCGACUCCAGCCUCUCGGGCUCCUGUCACACGUAACUAACUGCAGGUUUCUCCAGAGAAGAUUUAUUAGAAAAGACCCAUGAAGAAAUGUAUCGCCCGAC